rnacentral:rRNA from 1 species
AUGCUGCUGGAGGAGCUGCUCCGCUGCCAGAUCCAGGAGUGGUACCCGGCGUUCCGGCGCCACACGGUCCCCACCGCCAUCAUCCCGCUCCCGGCUGCCUUCCUCCGCUACCUCGCCGGCCGGACCGCCUACCCCGACCCCGACGAGGGCGAUCAGGGGCCGCUCCCCUUCGUCCUCCCGACGCUCACCUCCGGCCGCGCGCCCUUCCCGCCGCUCCAGGGCCACUUCCCGGACCCCGUCUCCCUCCUCGACCGCGACAACACCGACCCCCUCUUCGGCGACUCCGACUCCGACGACGAGGGCGAGGGCCUGCUCCGGCCCGCGUUCCCGGAGCUCGAGGCCGCGGUGGACGCCGCCAUCGCCGACCUCGGCGGGGCCGCGCUCCCCAAGCUCAACUGGAGCGCGCCCAAGGACGCCGUCUUCAUGGCCGCCGACGGCACCGUCCGCUGCACCUGCUUCGCCGAGGUCGCCAUGCUGCUCCGCGCCUCCGACUGCGUCGCCCACGACCUCGUCUCCGCGCGCCCCUCCUGCCAGGACUUCGUGCGCGCCAACCGUGUUCGACGGAAUGCCGCAGAGGGUAGUCUGAGUGACCCUGGUGAGAACUGCAGCGAGGUAGGUGCCCGCGGCGGUGGGAGUGAUGCGCCGGAAGAGGAUGCUGAGCAAGAAAGCAGUGAUGAUGAUGAGACUUGGGUGGACGACGGGUUCCAGUACUACCUCGCGCUCCGCAAGUGGUACCCAGGCCUCCGCCCCGAGUCGGAGUUCCGCUGCUUUGUGCGGGGGCGGAAGCUGGUCGGUGUGUCGCAGAGGGACCCGUCUGCCUACUACCCUUCUCUGCCUGGGUGGAGCGCUGAGGUACAGCCCAAGAUCGAGGAUUUCUUCGAAGAAUUCAUCGAGCCACAGUUUGCUUCAGAGAAUUACACGUUUGAUGUGUAUGUGAGAGCCGAUGGUCGGGUGAAGCUGAUCGACUUCAAUCCUUGGGGCGGCUAUACCCUGCCGCUGCUGUUCACAUGGGAGGAGCUUGAGGAGGAGCAGAGAGCAGAGGACGAGCUGGAGUUUCGAGUGGUGAUGCAGCAGGGUGCGGUGAGGCCAGGGUUAAUGACAGCAAUUCCGUAUGAUAUGCUGGAUUGGGGGGAUGGCAGUGGCUGGGAUGUGUUUCUGAAGAAGGCUGGCAAUGAGCUCGACAGACAGAUGGCAUCAUUAGGUGUGGAUUCGUAG